AUACGUAGGUGGCGAGCGUUGUCCGGAUUUACUGGGUGUAAAGGGUGCGUAGGCGGGUUAUCAAGUUGGGUGUGAAACCUCCGUGCUUAACACGGAGCCUGCAUUCAAAACUGGUAAUCUUGAGUGAGGUAGAGGUAGAUGGAAUUCCCGGUGUAGCGGUGAAAUGCGUAGAGAUCGGGAGGAACACCAGUGGCGAAGGCGGUCUACUGGGCCUUAACUGACGCUGAGGCACGAAAGCAUGGGUAGCAAACAGGAUUAGAUACCCUGGUAGUCCAUGCUGUAAGCGAUGAUUGCUAGGUGUGGGUGGACUGACCCCAUCCGUGCCGGAGUCAACGCAAUAAGCAAUCCACCUGGGGAGUAUGGCCGCAAGGUUAAA
rnacentral:rRNA from 1 species